rnacentral:lncRNA from 9 species
CGGGGAGACAGGGGAGCAGGCCAGGGUCCUCGGCGCCCUGAGUGACAAGUGGAUCGAGCCCCCAGCAGUGGGGUCCCAAGAGGAAGUGGGACAGCUCCUUCCUGCCUCACCCAGCAGAUUCUUCUGCCUGAACCAAGAACCCAGGGAGCGACCCCAGCGCUAGAGCAUGAUGGGGGGGGGGCUUCAGAGGGCGACAACUAAGACCAUGCCUCAGAGUGACGUGAGGAAAGACCAGGACUAGACCCCUGGAAGGACUUCCAAGAGGAAUGGCUUGGACUUCCUGGGAGGCCAGGGAAUCCCUGAGAAGAAAAAGCCCCUCAUGCACGUGGGCGGGCGGCGGAGCAGACAUGCUGUCCCUUGCAGGCCCCUCCUGCCCCGGCUGGCUGUUCCUGCCCUGCCCGUCCAGCAGAUCGCGUUCAGGGCACCCCUCCGAGGAGGCACCGUAUCCAGCCCUCACCACCCCCUCCAAGAGUGUACGAAAGGAAUUCGCCCGGAUCCUGAGCGAUUCUGUUGUGCCCACCGUCGUCCCGGGCCUGAGACACAGCCACAGGCAGCACCGUUCAGGAGCACGCACGCACGGGGUCUCACGGGCAUCUGCGGUUGAGACAGCCUCGCAGACGCGGUCACACCUCAAGGACCUCGCAGAAGCAGACACAGAGCUACAGGGACACAGGCGCCCAGCGCCGCAGGCAGAGCUGCUCACGUGGAGACACACCCAGAAGCUGAGCAAGAGACCAAAUUACAAAGAUGCACGCCCUGAGACAAACGAGGAGGAAACUCAGAACCUAACAAACCCAUCACGCAGGCCGCGCAGGGAGAGGGAGACUGAAACACGCUGAGGUCUACAAACAAACCCACACCGACGCCCAGAGACACCCCCCCCCCAACACACACACACACACAUAAACCUCAGUCACGGAAGCACGCACCGUGGCACAUUCGUCCACACACAAGCCCCCACCCCAGCAUUCUCUGGGACACACCCCACGCCCUCAAGUCCACCCAUUUCGCACCCUCACUCACACUCGCAUGCGUUUGAAAGAGCCAAGCGCUAGACUGACCCACAGCAGAGAUGAAGCGGGGUCCCCGGGCCACAGAGGCCAGAGAACAUGGCAGUGGGGGCAGGAAUGGGGUGCAGCGACAUUGCAUCCC